CCUCGGGAGGCAGCAGUCGGGAAUUUUCCGCAAUGGGCGAAAGCCUGACGGAGCAAUACCGCGUGAGGGAAGACUGCCUAUGGGUUGUAAACCUCUUUUUUCAGGGAGGAAUUUUGACGUGUACCUGAAGAAUAAGCAUCGGCUAACUCCGUGCCAGCAGCCGCGGUAAGACGGAGGAUGCAAGUGUUAUCCGGAAUCACUGGGCGUAAAGCGUCUGUAGGUGGUUAAACAAGUCAACUGUUAAAUCUUGAAGCUCAACUUCAAAAUCGCAGUCGAAACUGUUUGACUAGAGUAUAGUAGGGGUAAAGGGAAUUUCCAGUGGAGCGGUGAAAUGCGUAGAUAUUGGAAAGAACACCGAUGGCGAAGGCACUUUACUGGGCUAUUACUGACACUCAGAGACGAAAGCUAGGGUAGCAAAUGGGAUUAGAUACCCCAGUAGUCCUAGCCGUAAACAAUGGAUACUAGAUGUUGAACAGAUCGACCUGUGCAGUAUCAAAGCUAACGCGUUAAGUAUCCCGCCUGGGAAGUAUGCUCGCAAGAGUGAAACUCAAAGGAAUUGACGG
rnacentral:rRNA from 1 species